rnacentral:rRNA from 1 species
GUACACUCCUACGGGAGGCAGCAGUGGGGAAUUUUGGACAAUGGGCGAAAGCCUGAUCCAGCAAUGCCGCGUGUGUGAAGAAGGCCUUCGGGUUGUAAAGCACUUUUGUCCGGAAAGAAAUCCUUGGCUCUAAUACAGUCGGGGGAUGACGGUACCGGAAGAAUAAGCACCGGCUAACUACGUGCCAGCAGCCGCGGUAAUACGUAGGGUGCGAGCGUUAAUCGGAAUUACUGGGCGUAAAGCGUGCGCAGGCGGUUUGCUAAGACCGAUGUGAAAUCCCCGGGCUCAACCUGGGAACUGCAUUGGGGACUGGCAGGCUAGAGUAUGGCAGAGGGGGGUAGAAUUCCACGUGUAGCAGUGAAAUGCGUAGAGAUGUGGAGGAAUACCGAUGGCGAAGGCAGCCCCCUGGGCCAAUACUGACGCUCAUGCACGAAAGCGUGGGGAGCAAACAGGAUUAGAAACCCCAGUAGUCCC